CAGCCGCCACGGGAAUACGGAGGGAGCUAGCGUUGUUCGGAAUUACUGGGCGUAAAGCGCGCGUAGGCGGCUUUGUAAGUUAGAGGUGAAAGCCUGGGGCUCAACUCCAGAAUUGCCUUUAAGACUGCAUCGCUUGAAUCAUGGAGAGGCGGGUGGAAUUCCGAGUGUAGAGGUGAAAUUCGUAGAUAUUAGGAAGAACACCAGUGGCGAAGGCGGCCCGCUGGACAUGUAUUGACGCUGAGGUGCGAAAGCGUGGGGAGCAAACAGGAUUAGAUACCCGCGUAGUCCCUGUCUCUUAUAA
rnacentral:rRNA from 1 species